rnacentral:rRNA from 1 species
AUAACGGUCCUAAGGUAGCGAAAUUCCUUGUCGGGUAAGUUCCGACCUGCAUGAAAGGAGUAACGAUUGCCGCACUGUCUCGGCCAAAGACUCAGCGAAAUUGUGGUUCCGGUGAAGACGCCGGAUACCCGCUACGGGACGGAAAGACCCCGUGCACCUUUACUAUAACUUAGCAUUGAGUUUUGGUGCUGCAUGCGUAGGAUAGGUGGGAGCCUGUGAAACUUCGCUUCAGGGCGGAGUGGAGGCAAUGGUGAAAUACCACCCUUGUAGUUCUGGAAUUCUAACUUAGGUCCGUUAUCCGGAUCAAGGACAAUGUUAGGCGGGUAGUUUGACUGGGGCGGUCACCUCCUAAAGAGUAACGGAGGUGUGCAAAGGUUCCCUCAGCUUGAUUGGAAACCAAGCGCAGAGUGCAAAGGCAUAAGGGAGCUUGACUGUGAGACUGACAGGUCGAGCAGGUGCGAAAGCAGGUCUUAGUGACCCGGUGGUUCUGUGUGGAAAGGCCAUCGAUCAACGGAUAAAAGGUACGCCGGGGAUAACAGACUUAUCUCCCCCAAGAGUUCACAUCGACGGGGAGGUUUGGUACCUCGAUGUCGGCUCAUCGCAUCCUGGGGCUGGAGAAGGUCCCAAGGGUUGGGCUGUUCGCCCAUUAAAGCGGUACGCGAGCUGGGUUUAGAACGUCGUGAGACAGUUCGGUCCCUAUCUGUAGCGGGCGAAGGAGAUUUGAGAGGAUCUGCUCAUAGUACGAGAGGACCUGAGUGGACGAGCCUCUAGUGUACCAGUUGUCGUGCCAACGGCAGUGCUGGGUAGCUAUGCUCGGAAAGGAUAACCGCUGAAAGCAUCUAAGCGGGAAACCUGCCUCAAGAUUAGAUCUCCCGAACGUAAGUUCCUAAAGGUCCCUUGAAGAUUACGAGGUUGAUAGGCUCAAGGUGUAAGUCCUGUGAGGGAUUAAGCUGAUGAGUACUAACCGACCGUGAGGCUUACUGCG